rnacentral:lncRNA from 1 species
AAUGUAUUGAGGCAAUGAAAAUACAACAUAGAAAAACUUACAGGAUGAGGAGAAAACAGUUUUGAGAGAAACUUGUAACUAUCAACAGUAAAUUUUUGAAAGGAGGAAAAAUAGCAAAUCAGUAACAUAGCUUUACAACUUAAGGAAUUGUAAGAAGAGAAACAUAAGCCCAAAGGCAGCAAAAGGAAAAAAAUAAAGAUGAACGUGGAAAUAAAUAAAAUAUAGAACAAGAAAGAAAGGAGAAAUCAAUAACCAAGAGUAAAUUCUUGAAAAAGAUAAAUUAAAAAAAUUAUUAACAAGUCUUUAGGUAAAUUUACUGAGAGAAAUAUAGAAGACAUAAAUAACUAAACCUGGAAAUACAAAGAAGAAAUUAUUACUGAUUUCAGAGAAAUAAGAAAGAUCACAAGAGAGUAUUAUAAACAAUCAUACACCAAAAAUUGGAUAAACUAGAUGAAAUGGACAAAUACAUAGAAAUGUAAAAACUAACAAGACUGAAACAUGAAGAAGCAGAAAGGUCUGAGUAGACCUAAAACAGUAAGGACAUGAAUCAGAAAAUCUCUCAAAAACAACAACAACAACAAAAACCUUCUAGACUAGAUCACUUCACUGGUGAAUUACUACCAGGUGUUUAAAUAAUUAACACCGAUCUUUCACAAAUACUUUCAAAAUUUUUAACAAUAGAGAACAUUUACUAACUCAUUUGUGAAGCCUGCAUUACCAUUACCAUGACACCAAAGCCAAAUACAUACACAUAAAAAAAAAAAAGAAAAAGAAAGAAGAAAGAAAAGGAAGAAAACUGCAAAUCAAUAUCUCAAUGGACACUGAUGCAAAAAUCCUCAAUGAAACAGUAGGAACCUGAUUUUUAAGAGCAUAGUGAAAUUACCAUAUGCCAUAGGUGAUAUGCUCCUGAUAUACAAGGAUAGUUCAACAUAUGAAAAUCAACCAAUGAAAAACAUCAUAUUAACAGAAUGAAGAAAAAAUCACAUGGUCAUUUAAAUUGAUACAAUAAAAAAAAGAAUUAAAUUGAAUCAUUUGCUGGUAGAUGGAUGGAACAGAGAAUAUCACGCUAAGUGAAAUAAGCCAGACUCAGAAAGCCAAGGGUCAAAUGUAUUUUCUCCUAUAUGCAGAAGCUAAAGAGAUAUAAGGAACUAAAAAAAGGGGAGAGGGGAGAUCUCAUGAAAACAAAAGGAAGAACGCUAGAAUAAAGGUAGGGAAUCCAGGCGGAGGAAGGACGGAUGGGAAAGGGGAGGAACUGUAGAAUAAAAUUGAUCAAACUAUGCUAUAGGCAUGUGUGAAUGUAUCAAAAUAAAUUCCAUUUUAUGUAUGUCUAUACUGCAACAAUUGAAAAUAAUAAAUUAAUGGAAGAAAUAUCAAUAGAAGAGAGGAAGGGGUUGGUGGAGGGAGGAGGGAAAGGAAAGGGAAAUGCAAGGAAUUGAAAUGGAGUAAAUUAUGUUGUAUACAUGUACGGAUGUCAAAAUGAACCCAUUAUUACAUACAACUAAUAUUUUAAAAAUUGAUACAGAAAAAGCAUUUGGCAAAGUUCAGUGCUGUCUCAAAAUAAAAAAAUAAAACACUCUACAGACUACACACAGAUGAAACUUACCUCAACAUAAUAAAGGCAUAUGUGAAAAGCCCAUAACUUUCAUCAUACUCGGUGGAAAUACUGAAGACGUCUCCCCUGAUAGGAGGAGGA